AUUGAACGCUGGCGGCAGGCCUAACACAUGCAAGUCGAGCGGGGUUUUCGGACCUAGCGGCGGACGGGUGAGUAAUGCGUAGGAAGCUACCCGAUAGAGGGGGAUACCAGUUGGAAACGACUGUUAAUACCGCAUAAUGUCUACGGACCAAAGUAUGGGACCUUCGGGCCACAUGCUAUCGGAUGCGCCUACGUGGGAUUAGCUAGUUGGUGAGGUAAUGGCUCACCAAGGCGACGAUCCCUAGCUGGUUUGAGAGGAUGAUCAGCCACACUGGAACUGAGACACGGUCCGGACACCUACGGGAGGCAGCAGUGGGGAAUAUUGGACAAUGGGCGCAAGCCUGAUCCAGCCAUGCCGCGUGUGUGAAGAAGGCCUUCGGGUUGUAAAGCACUUUCAGUAGGGAGGAAGCGUUGUGUGUUAUUAGUACACAGCGUUGACGUUACCUACAGAAGAAGCACCGGCUAACUCUGUGCCAGCCGCCGCAGUAAAAC
rnacentral:rRNA from 1 species